rnacentral:rRNA from 1 species
UACGGAGGGGGCUAGCGUUGUUCGGAAUUACUGGGCGUAAAGAGCUCGUAGGCGGCUUGUCGCGUCGACUGUGAAAACCGCGGCUCAACUGCGGGCUUGCAGUCGAUACGGGCAGGCUAGAGUUCGGUAGGGGAGACGUGGAAUUCCUGGUGUAGCGGUGAAAUGACGCAGAUAUCAGGAAGAACACCCGUGGCGAAGGCAGCUCGCUGGGACGGUACUGACGCUGAGACGCGAAAGCGUGGGGAGCAAACAGG